rnacentral:rRNA from 1 species
UACCAGCACCCCGAGUGGUCGGGACGAUUAUUGGGCCUAAAGCAUCCGUAGCCGGUUCUACAAGUCUUCCGUUAAAUCCACCUGCUUAACAGAUGGGCUGCGGAGGAUACUAUGGAGCUAGGAGGCGGGAGAGGCAAGCGGUACUUAGUGGGUAGGGGUAAAAUCCGUUGAUCCAUAGAAGACCACCAGUGGCGAAGGCGGCUUGCCAGAACGCACUCGACGGUGAGGGAUGAAAGCUGGGGGAGCAAACCGG